GCAGUGGUGGUUCAUGGUAGAAUUCAUACCUUCCAUGCAGGAGAUCUGGGUUCAAUUCCCGGCCCGUGCA
rnacentral:tRNA from 1 species